rnacentral:rRNA from 1 species
UACAGGGGGUGCAAACGUUGCUCGGAAUUAUUGGGCGUAAAGCGCGCGUAGGCGGCCGCUUAAGUCGGAUGUGAAAGCCCCUGGCUCAACUGGGGAAGUGCACCCGAAACUGAGUGGCUUGAGUACUAAAGAGGGUCGCGGAAUUCCCGGUGUAGAGGUGAAAUUCGUAGAUCUCGAGAGGAACACCAAUGGCGAAGGCAGCUUCUUGGUCCAUUUCUGACGUUCAUGCACGAAAGCGUGGGGAGCAAACAGG